rnacentral:rRNA from 1 species
CCCAGACUCCUACGGGAGGCAGCAGUGGGGAAUAUUGCACAAUGGGGGAAACCCUGAUGCAGCGACGCCGCGUGAGUGAAGAAGUAUUUCGGUAUGUAAAGCUCUAUCAGCAGGGAAGAAAAUGACGGUACCUGACUAAGAAGCCCCGGCUAACUACGUGCCAGCAGCCGCGGUAAUACGUAGGGGGCAAGCGUUAUCCGGAUUUACUGGGCGUAAAGGGGGCGCAGACGGCAGCGCAAGCCAGGAGUGAAAGCCCGGGGCCCAACCCCGGGACUGCUCUUGGAACUGCGCGGCUGGAGUGCAGGAGGGGCAGGCGGAAUUCCUGGUGUAGCGGUGAAAUGCGUAGAUAUCAGGAGGAACACCAGUGGCGAAGGCGGCCUACUGGACGGUGACUGACGCUGAGGCUCGAAAGCGUGGGGAGCAAACAGGAUUAGAUACCCGAGUAGU